AGGAUCAUUCGCAAUGGGGGAAACCCUGACGAUGCGACGCUGCGUGGAGGAUGGAGGCCUUCGGGUCGUAAACUCCUGUCAUGAAGGAAAAGGAGAGGGGCGCCAACACCGCCCCGAUUUGAUGGUACUUCAAGAGGAAGAGACGGCUAACUCUGUGCCAGCAGCCGCGGUAAUACAGAGGCCUCGAGCGUUGUUCGGAUUUACUGGGCGUAAAGGGCGCGUAGGCGGCGCGGCGUGUCGAUUGUGAAAUCUCCGGGCUCAACCCGGAAAGUGCGCUCGAAACUGCCGCGUUCGAGUACGGGAUGGGGAAUCGGAAUACAGGGUGUAGCGGUGAAAUGCGUUGAUAUCCUGUAGAACACCGGAGGCGAAGGCGGAUUCCUGGAACGUCACUGACGCUGAGGCGCGAAAGUCGGGGGAGCAAACA
rnacentral:rRNA from 1 species